AUUUGAAAAGAAAUUAACUACAAAACAACCCCACCAACAAAAAAAAUCAAAUAAUUUUCCUCAAACCAUUAACCUCGAACCAUUACCCUCAAAAUAGACAUAUAAAAAAAUCGAAUUCUAUACGUGUUAACAAAGAAAUACAUGGAGAUUAAAAGGGUGUAUGCAAUUAGGCAUAAACUCAAGAAAACAAAGCACAACCAAACCCACAUAUGAGCAGGAGCACCCUUCCAGCAAAAAUUCAUAAAGAAAUACAUAGAAAAUGCCAAAAAAAAAAAAAGCAAGAAGGAAA
rnacentral:misc_RNA from 1 species